GGCCGCGCGGCGCGGCGAGGCGGGGGCAGGUCCGGACCGACGGCAGCGACGGAGCGCGCGGCGGCGGCGGCGGCUGGAGGGGGGCUCGCUCAGUCCCCGGUUUCAUACACCACGAGCAGCAGGUCGGAGCAGCCCUCCUCGGUCCAGCCCUUGGGGAUCGUCCGCUGAGGCAUUGAAGACAGGAGGAGGAAGGGGUCCGUCAUCGGCUCGCCGGGCUCCGCGCCACCUCUGCGAUCUUGCGGAGAGAGGAGCGGGAGGAUUCUUUACAGCCUGAGCCACCAGGGAGCACAAGAAAACUGGAGUGGGCAGCCUGUCCCUUCCCCAGUGGAUCUUUUCAACCCAGGAAUCGAACAGGGGUCUCCGGCUUUGCAGGUAGGUUUGUUACCAGCUGAUCUACCAGGGAAGUUUAUAUUGUAAACUUAUAUGAAAAAAAAUUCCACGAAGUCUUUGGCUUGAAUAUCUGGAUGGCCCCUGAAUCUUUAUUUGUUUGCAUGUUUGUUUAUCCAGGUCAGUGGAUGGAUGGCCUUAGCUGACAACGUCCUUUGGACGUACCUGUGGCAUCUUCCACGGAGGUCUAGUUAUGAAGCAGCCGGCCAGCAGGAAGCUGCCAGCUCACUGUCUAAGCACCAUGGUGAGUCAAUGCCUCCUGGCCUCCUGGUCAACUCAAGGCUCAGGACAAGAGGAGCCCCAUCCCACCUGGUCACUGUUUUCUCCUACGCAUGUGGUCAGGAAACCCUGACCAACCGCAGUGAAAACUAGAAUUCACUACCUUUGAUCGAUACACAGAUGUCUCAGUCCUACCGGGAACGGUCAUCAGUCUGAGGUUCUCUUCCUGCCUGACUCUGCCCUCUCCUCUUCUACCGAGUGAGGAAAGUUCUGGAUGGGGAUUGGGAGGGAAUCGUCAGUCCCAGGACUUGCCUCUCUCUGCUCCAUUCUGUCAAAAUGUAGUGAAACAGUGGGGGUCCAUCUUCCACUCCACACAGCUGAGUAUCUUCCUUGAAGAUGAAAGAACAGUUCAACUGAGUACAGCUGGAUCCGUGACGAACUCGUGAAGAAGAGCUGCAUGGCUCCCUGACACAGUGGACAUUGACAUGAUAAGAGAAAUAGACAUUUGUUUUUUCCUCAAGCCACUGUGAUUUGUGGUCUUCUUGUUUGUUUUUUAUUAUCCUUUAGCAAUUGAUAGGGAAUAUGAGAAUACCUCUUUCCUCACACAUUUGUCAGCAGGUAUUAAACCUUUGGAUCUUUGGUAGCUGUAGAUAAAAGUGGUAUCUUAAUGUCCUUCUUGUCUUCUUUUUUCUUAUAACAAAUGUGAUUAUUAAUAUUUUAUGUUAAUUAAAAGUGCAUCCUAUUUGUAGAGAACAUUGACAUUUCCUUUCUCACUUUUCUAUUGGUUCAUUAUUAUUGAUGUAUAGUAAUAUAAAGUUAACAAUACCAUAUUUGUCAAAAGUGAUUUCUUUUAUUUUCAUCCUUACUUUUUUCUUAUAUCUGUGGUAAUUCUUUUGCCGUGUAAGAUAUUACAAUACUUUAGGUAAUAAUAUUUAUCUUUUAAAAAUAAUUCUUAAUUUCUGUUUCAUGCUUACAGAUGUCUUGCAUACUGCAGCUGUUUUCUUAAUCUGUAUUUUCUUCUGAUAUUUCAUGAUUUUUUUCAUUUAAUUAAUCUUUCUCAAAUUUGUUUUGAUAAAUCUAUAAACUUGUGAUUCAUUAUUCUUCCUCUCUAACUGGCUGCUUAAUUAUCACAAUUUUUAUUGAAUAAUCCAUCUUUUCCAUAAAGAUUUAAAUGACCAUGUUCUGGUAUUAAUACUAAAACUUAAAAUCAAAUAAAUAUGACCCUCUAGACCAAACAUCAGAAUCUAAUAUUAUUUAUAAUAGUAUAAUAGUAUAGGAUGCCAGGUUAGGUUUUAAUCCCUCAGGAAAUACUUCUCAUUAUUAGCUCAGGCUUUACUGGGAGUGGAUAUUAGAGUAUUCUUGAGGGAGAUGAGUAGAAAACAAUCAAAGUAAUAAUUAUUAAAUGUCUAGACAUAAUGAAACUUUAUUGUAGAAGAUAUUUUGCAUUCUCAUUUUUCUCACUUUUGGAAGAUAUUUGUAAGAUAUCUAAAAUUUUCUUUAAAUUUCUGUUUUGCCAACAAAUAUCUAUAUUAUUAGUUCUUGGAUAUUAACUCCAUAGUGUGAAUUCAUGUGAAUUAUUUACCUGCAAAACAUACAACACUAGUUUUGAUUCAAAAUAUAGUUUUCCACUUUCAUACAAAUUUUAAAAAUUCAGACAGAAAUACAUUAUGAUCGACAAGUGUUUGCAUGUUGAUUUGUACUGACUUUCCUUGUAAGCUUCAUAGAUGAGCUUCUAUAUGAUAAUGGCUCAUAUAUGAUAAUCUGCCUAAAAGGCCAUCUCAAGUUUUUAGAAAUUGUGUGAACUUUUCUUGUAUGAAUCUCUUUUAUUCACCAUCAUCAACGGAGUAUGAUUGCUACUUGCUUAAAAGUGAAAGGAUGUAAUAUCACACUCAAAUGAUUCUUUUUCAGACAAAUAAAGAUUCUCAAACCAGAUGACAGUGAGAAUAAUAAUAUCAUUAAUAAAGCUUGUUUCAUUCGAGGCAUCUGCCAAUCAAAACACUAUUUAAAUUUAAUUGAAGAAUCUGUCAAUGAGAAGGGUGUAUAGAAGUUUCUGUAAGAAAAUACAGUUCAUGAAGGGAAGUAUGUAAAAUAGGACUUUUGUAGGCAACGGAUUAGUCUGUGAAGGUCAGAGGUCAACCGUGGAAACCUGGGUUGUGUUUUCUAAGUGAAGGGAUGAUGUAGGGUAAUCAUACGGUAAUCAAACACAAGAUUUUGCCCAAGCAAGUGAUAUGGAAUUAAGACUUCUAAAGACUGUUAAGACUUCUAAAUAACAAUACAUAAUUUAUUAUCUUGCCUGUAAACCCAGUGGCUCAAACUGUGGGCUGGAUAAUCCCCUUGCGAAGCCCAUCCCCCUGAUCUCUGACCCUGAUGGCCUGAGUUUACCUCCAAAUUCCACAAUGGGAUCUUUGGCAACACAGGAACCUGUGAACGAUGACCUCAAAGAUGUCUUUUCCACCCCUCAAACACCCCUCUUUCCAGUCAUCUCAAGAAUAGGGACAUCAAUGACGCUCUUGAAAAUCAUAGAAACCAGAAAUAAAACAACUUAUGUGUCAAAUUCUGCAUGACUCACAUCAAGAAGAAAUGAGUAUUAAUCUCCCAUUGCUCCUUUCUUGACAUAUGACAUAAAAUGUAGAAAGUUCAUUCUACCUUCUCCUAAUUUUUCCCUUUAAUAUAGCUUCAAUUUUUCUCAACCUGCAGAGCCAUAAGACUAUAUCCUUUUAUUUUCUUCUUUCUUGAAUUAUUUGAGUGUGGUGGUAGCUUUUGGUUAUUUUUUCAGGAAAUCUCCAAUGAAUAAGAGGCCAAUGAUUUAUGUUUACCCCAGCGUGGCAGUAGGCAGAGUCACUCACACACCCAUUUGGUGGGGUUUUAGUUCUUGGGUCCAGCCCUACCCAGCUCUGCAGUCUUCCCCUUUUUCCUCUUCACUUUCUGGACUGUCUUUUCAGAGAAGCUAUAAAAGCAAAUUGAUGUCUCACUUUUUUCUAUGCAGUUUCCUCUAGUCAUUUUUUUCCCUAUAAAUCUGCAUUGCCACUUUCCUUCUUUAUUUUUCCAAAUAGAGAUUUACUAUGGAAAGCUGAACAUUGUCUUCUGUAUUUUCAUGUGGCAUCAUGUACGUUUAC
ensembl:lncRNA